GCAGCGGUAGUUCAGUCGGCUAGAAUACCGGCCUGUCACGCCGGGGGUCGCGGGUUCGAGUCCCGUCCGCUGCGCCA
rnacentral:tRNA from 1 species